ACUGUAAGUAUAGUUUAAAAAGAACAUUAGUCCGUGAAGCUAAAAACAGAAGGCAAAACUUCUUACUUACCG
rnacentral:tRNA from 1 species